rnacentral:rRNA from 2 species
UACGUAGGGUGCGAGCGUUGUCCGGAAUUAUUGGGCGUAAAGAGCUCGUAGGCGGUCUGUCACGUCGGUCGUGAAAACUUGGGGCUUAACCCUGAGCUUGCGGUCGAUACGGGCAUGACUUGAGUUCGGCAGGGGAGACUGGAAUUCCUGGUGUAGCGGUGAAAUGCGCAGAUAUCAGGAGGAACACCGGUGGCGAAGGCGGGUCUCUGGGCCGAUACUGACGCUGAGGAGCGAAAGCGUGGGGAGCGAACAGG